rnacentral:rRNA from 1 species
UACGAAGGGGGCUAGCGUUGUUCGGAAUUACUGGGCGUAAAGCGCGCGCAGGCGGUUUCUCAAGUCAGGGGUGAAAGCCCGGAGCUCAACUCCGGAACUGCCAUUGAAACUGUGAAACUUGAGGACGAGAGAGGUGAGUGGAACUGCGAGUGUAGAGGUGAAAUUCGUAGAUAUUCGCAAGAACACCAGUGGCGAAGGCGGCUCACUGGCCCGGUACUGACGCUGAGGUGCGAAAGCGUGGGGAGCAAACAGG